rnacentral:rRNA from 1 species
CUACGGGUCGCAGCAGUGAGGAAUAUUGGUCAAUGGGCGCAAGCCUGAACCAGCCAUCCCGCGUGGAGGAAGACGGCCCUAUGGGUUGUAAACUCCUUUUAUAAGGGAAGAAUAUACGUAUCGUGAUAUGUUUUGACGGUACCUUAUGAAUAAGCAUCGGCUAACUCCGUGCCAGCAGCCGCGGUAAUACGGAGGAUGCAAGCGUUCUCCGGAUUCAUUGGGUUUAAAGGGUGCGCAGGCGGACCAAUAAGUCAGUGGUGAAAUCUUACGGCUCAACCGUGAAACUGCCAUUGAUACUGUUAGUCUUGAGUACGGCUGAGGUAGGCGGAAUGUGUAAUGUAGCGGUGAAAUGCUUAGAUAUUACACAGAACACCAAUUGCGUAGGCAGCUUACUAGACCGUAACUGACGCUGAGGCACGAAAGCGUGGGUAGCGAACAGGAUUAGAUACCCGCGUAGUC